CGUAUGAUUUUCGGACUCGGGCAAUGAGGCCCGUUGCGAUGUAAGCAUAGACACCACCAGCGAUUGCAAUCGCAGAUGGAUGAUAAAUGUUACUGUAAUAGAAGGAAAAUAAAAGGCGCCUGGUAUCCCAACCAUAUUUUUGGUAAUUCGACCAGACUAUUAAUGAUAGGGGGCCGCUUUUACUUUACCAAAUUUACCAUUACAGACAGUGGGACCACACUAUUUUGGAGCGAUAUGAUCGAAAUACCAAAAAUGUUGGUCGGGAUACACCAGGUGAAAUAAAAAGGUAACACUAAUUGUAGUGGUGAAUGUGGAAAAGUGUGAUAAGUGAUAGAAGUCCAUAAUUGCGGUGCAUGGGCGAUUAGAGAAGUGGGUACAAGUUCAGCCAGCCAGCCUGCCCAACAAGACUGAUUACAAACUCAUUCAUUACAGAACCCUAUUUAAUUCAAUGUUGGCAUUUAUAAAAAUCUCCCCCACCCCCUCCUCCCCUAUAAGUAUUCUAUCUGUUGUACGUACAUAUGUUAUUAAACACCGCCUUCAUCUCCCUUUUAGUUUA